CAGAUAGCUCAGUAACACGUGGCCAAACUACCCUACAGAUCGUGAUAACCUCGGGAAACUGAGGCUAAUAACGAAUACAGCUCCCAGAUUUGAACAUCGGGAGCUGGAAACGUUCCGGCGCUGUAGGAUGUGGCUGCGGCCGAUUAGGUAGACGGUGGGGUAACGGCCCACCGUGCCGAUAAUCGGUACGGGUUGUGAGAGCCAGAACCUGGAGACGGAAUCUGAGACAAGAUUCCGGGCCCUACGGGGCGCAGCAGGCGCGAAACCUUUACACUGCACGACAGUGCGAUAAGGGGACUCCGAGUGCGAGGGCAUAUAGUCCUCGCUUUUCUCUACCGUAAGGUGGUCGACGAACAAGUGCUGGGCAAGACCGGUGCCAGCCGCCGCGGUAAUACCGGCAGCCCGAGUGAUGGUCGCUAUUAUUGGGCCUAAAGCGUCCGUAGCCUGCCGAACAAGUCCGUUGGGAAAUCCACGCGCUCAACUGGUGGACGUCCGGUGGAAACUGUCUGGCUUGGGGCCGGAAGAUCUGAGGGGUACGUCCGGGGUAGGAGUGAAAUCCUGUAAUCCUGGACGGACCACCGAUGGCGAAAGCGCCUCGGGAGGACGGAUCCGACGGUGAGGGACGAAAGCUAGGGUCUCGAACCGGAUUA
rnacentral:rRNA from 1 species